GUCCACGCCGUAAACGGUGGGCACUAGGUGUGGGACUCAUUCCACGAGUUCCGUGCCGUAGCUAACGCAUUAAGUGCCCCGCCUGGGGAGUACGGCCGCAAGGCUAAAACUCAAAGGAAUUGACGGGGCCCGCACAAGCGGCGGAGCAUGCGGAUUAAUUCGAUGCAACGCUAAGAACCUUACCUAGGUUUGACAUAUACCGGAAAGCUGCAGAGAUGUAGCCCCCGCAAGGUCGGUAUACAGGUGGUGCAUGGCUGUCGU
rnacentral:rRNA from 1 species